rnacentral:rRNA from 1 species
AAUCCUGGCUCAGGACGAACGCUGGCGGCGCGCCUAACACAUGCAAGUCGAACGAGAGAUGAGGAGCUUGCUCUUCAAAUCGAGUGGCGAACGGGUGAGUAACGCGUGAGGAACCUGCCUCAAAGAGGGGGACAACAGUUGGAAACGACUGCUAAUACCGCAUAAGCCCACGGCUCGGCAUCGAGCAGAGGGAAAAGGAGCAAUCCGCUUUGAGAUGGCCUCGCGUCCGAUUAGCUAG